rnacentral:rRNA from 1 species
GAUGAACGCUGGCGGCGUGCCUAAUACAUGCAAGUCGAGCGAACAGACGAGGAGCUUGCUCCUCUGACGUUAGCGGCGGACGGGUGAGUAACACGUGGAUAACCUACCUAUAAGACUGGGAUAACUUCGGGAAACCGGAGCUAAUACCGGAUAAUAUAUUGAACCGCAUGGUUCAAUAGUGAAAGACGGUUUUGCUGUCACUUAUAGAUGGAUCCGCGCCGCAUUAGCUAGUUGGUAAGGUAGCGGCUUACCAAGGCAACGAUGCGUAGCCGACCUGAGAGGGUGAUCGGCCACACUGGAACUGAGACACGGUCCAGACUCCUACGGGAGGCAGCAGUAGGGAAUCUUCCGCAAUGGGCGAAAGCUUGACGGAGCAACGCCGCGUGAGUGAUGAAGGUCUUCGGAUCGUAAAACUCUGUUAUUAGGGAAGAACAAAUGUGUAAGUAACUAUGCACGUCUUGACGGUACCUAAUCAGAAAGCCACGGCUAACUACGUG